CAGUAGCCGCGGGAAUACGAAGGGUGCAAGCGUUACUCGGAAUUACUGGGCGUAAAGCGUGCGUAGGUGGUGGUUUAAGUCCGUUGUGAAAGCCCUGGGCUCAACCUGGGAAUUGCAGUGGAUACUGGGUCACUAGAGUGUGGUAGAGGAUAGUGGAAUUUCCGGUGUAGCAGUGAAAUGCGUAGAGAUCGGAAGGAACAUCUGUGGCGAAGGCGACUAUCUGGGCCAACACUGACACUGAGAGACGAAAGCUAGGGGAGCAAAUGGGAUUAGAUACCCCAGUAGUCCCUGUCUCUUAUAC
rnacentral:rRNA from 1 species